UCGAACGGUAACGACACUAGCUUGCUAGUGGGCGACGAGUGGCGGACGGGUGAGUAACGCGUAGGAAUCUACCUAGUAGUGGGGGAUAGCCAAGGGAAACUUUGGGUAAUACCGCAUACGAUCUAAGGAUGAAAGGGGGCCUCUCUUUGAAGCUCUCGCUAUUAGAUGAGCCUGCGUAAGAUUAGCUUGUUGGUGAGGUAAUGGCUCACCAAGGCGACGAUCUUUAGCUGGUCUGAGAGGAUGAUCAGUCACACUGGAACUGAGACACGGUCCAGACUCCUACGGGAGGCAGCAGUCGGGAAUAUUGGACAAUGGGGGAAACCCUGAUCCAGCCAUGCCGCGUGUGUGAAGAAGGCCCUAGGGUUGUAAAGCACUUUUAGUAGUGAGGAAGGCUCAGUAGUUAAUACCUGCUGGGAUUGACGUUAGCUACAGAAAAAGCACCGGCUAAUUUCGUGCCAGCAGCCGCGGUAAUACGAAAGGUGCAAGCGUUAAUCGGAAUUACUGGGCGUAAAGCGCGCGUAGGCGGCUAAGUCAGUCAGAAGUGAAAGCCCCGGGCUCAACCUGGGAAUUGCUUUUGAUACUGCUUAGCUAGAGUUUGGUAGAGGAUAGUGGAAUUCCAGGCGUAGCGGUGAAAUGCGUA
rnacentral:rRNA from 1 species